AAAGUCGUAACAAGGUUUCCGUAGGUGAACCUGCGGAAGGAUCAUUACCUAGAGUUUGUGGGCUUUGCCCACUGUCUCUUACCCAUGUCUUUUGAGUACUUACGUUUCCUCGGUGGGCUCGCCCGCCGGUUGGACAAUUUAAACCAUUUGCAGUCGCAAUCAGCGUCUGAAAAACAUAAUAGUUACAACUUUCAACAACGGAUCUCUUGGUUCUG
rnacentral:misc_RNA from 1 species